rnacentral:snRNA from 1 species
GGGCUUACUUUAGCAGCACUUAUACUAAAAUUGACAGAAGGAGAUUAGCACAGUCCCUACACAAAGGAUGACAUGCAAAUUUUUGAAGUGUUCCAUAUUUUA